GGGUUGUGAGGUUAAGCGACUAAGCGUACACGGUGGAUGCCCUGGCAGUCAGAGGCGAUGAAGGGCGUGCUAAUCUGCGAUAAGCGCCGGUAAGGUGAUAUGAACCGUUAUAACCGGCGAUACCCGAAUGGGGAAACCCAGUGUGACUCGUCACACUAUCAUUAACUGAAUCCAUAGGUUAAUGAGGCGAACCGGGGGAACUGAAACAUCUAAGUACCCCGAGGAAAAGAAAUCAACCGAGAUUCCCCCAGUAGCGGCGAGCGAACGGGGAGGAGCCCAGAGCCUGAAUCAGCAUGUGUGUUAGUGGAAGCGUCUGGAAAGGCGCGCGAUACAGGGUGACAGCCCCGUACACAAAAGCGCAUGUGCUGUGAGCUCGAUGAGUAGGGCGGGACACGUGGUAUCCUGUCUGAAUAUGGGGGGACCAUCCUCCAAGGCUAAAUACUCCUGACUGACCGAUAGUGAACCAGUACCGUGAGGGAAAGGCGAAAAGAACCCCGGCGAGGGGAGUGAAAAAGAACCUGAAACCGUGUACGUACAAGCAGUGGGAGCACCCUUUGGGUGUGACUGCGUACCUUUUGUAUAAUGGGUCAGCGACUUAUAUUCUGUAGCAAGGUUAACCGAAUAGGGGAGCCGGAGGGAAACCGAGUCUUAACCGGGCGUUAAGUUGCAGGGUAUAGACCCGAAACCCGGUGAUCUAGCCAUGGGCAGGUUGAAGGUUGGGUAACACUAACUGGAGGACCGAACCGACUAAUGUUGAAAAAUUAGCGGAUGACCUGUGGCUGGGGGUGAAAGGCCAAUCAAACCGGGAGAUAGCUGGUUCUCCCCGAAAGCUAUUUAGGUAGCGCCUCGUGAAUUCAUCUCCGGGGGUAGAGCACUGUUUCGGCUAGGGGGCCAUCCCGGCUUACCAACCCGAUGCAAACUGCGAAUACCGGAGAAUGUUAUCACGGGAGACACACGGCGGGUGCUAACGUCCGUCGUGAAGAGGGAAACAACCCAGACCGCCAGCUAAGGUCCCAAAGUCAUGGUUAAGUGGGAAACGAUGUGGGAAGGCCCAGACAGCCAGGAUGUUGGCUUAGAAGCAGCCAUCAUUUAAAGAAAGCGUAAUAGCUCACUGGUCGAGUCGGCCUGCGCGGAAGAUGUAACGGGGCUAAACCAUGCACCGAAGCUGCGGCAG
rnacentral:rRNA from 2 species